UACGUAGGGUGCAAGCGUUUGUCCGGAAUUAUUGGGCGUAAAGAGCUCGUAGGCGGUUUGUCGCGUCGACUGUGAAAACCCGAGGCUUAACCUCGGGCCUGCAGUCGAUACUGUCGGACUAGAGUACAGAAGGGGCAACUGGGAAUUCUCGGUGUAGCGGUGAAAUGCGUAGAUAUCGAGAGGAACACCUGCGGCGAAGGCGGGUUGCUGGGCUGAUACUGACGCUGAGGCGCGAAAGCCAGGGGGAGCGAACGGG
rnacentral:rRNA from 1 species